rnacentral:lncRNA from 1 species
GGCGGGUCUUGUGUCGCACUGACUCAUCAGAUUCAUCCUCCUCCACUUCCACCCCUCUGUGUCCUUCUCCUUUGGGGCUUGGGGUUGGUCCCCGAGUGCGGCGAGGCUUUUCUUCUUCAUCCUCAUCCUCAUCCUCAUCCUCAUCAUGGUGAUGUCUUGAUCGUCGUGGAGGGAGUGGUUCAAUUUCUUUUUCUUCCUCUUUGUGUACAUGCUUUCGAGGAGGGAGAGGUUCAACCUCCUUUUCCACCUCUUUGUGUACAUGCUUUCCAUAAGGUUCAACCUCUUUUUCCUCUUCUUUGCGUACACGCUUUCCGUGGCUUGGUCGCCGUGAAGGACGAGACACAGAUUCAUCUUCAUCUUCAUCUUCAUCGUCGUCAUCUUCAUCUUCAUCCUCUUGUUGUCCUUGCCACUUGGGGCUGAUCACGCUGAGGCCUUCCUUCAGUUUAACGAUCUGCUUCAUUUCAUCGUCCGGAGAGAUAAGCUUGUUUGCUAUGUCUUGGUCGAUGUUGAGGGCUCGUGCUAAAAAGCGUUUUCCGAAGCCACUGAGCACGUUGCCACCUUCUUCCUCCGCCUGCUGCUGCUGCUUUUCUUUCAUUGCCUCUGGGUGCUCUAUAUCCGG